rnacentral:lncRNA from 10 species
GAUUAAAUCAUUGUUGGUUUUAAAAUACACCUAUCCUCUUUCUCUUUUCAUAAUAUGUACCUCAAAAAUACAGUAAAAUACUAGUAGAAAUUAUCUCUAGGAGUUGAUAUCACAGAAAUUAUUUUUGCCUUGGUUUUUCGCGAUGAUAAUGUAUUACCCUUAUAAUCAGAGAAGCUGUAAUGCCAUUUCAAACAAAGAAGAAAAGCUCCCCAUUCCCUGGCCCCCGCUUCCCCUUGUAGUGUGGGUUUUUCAAUAGGAGCGCAGAGUGGAGGAAGGUGAUCCUAAGGAUUCUCCUCCUAAGAGGGCCAGGACUGCACCUCCCUGGGCCUGGGGUUCACACAAGACUGGGAAGACUCAGUCAGCGUCCUGGAGCCCUGCCUGCUCCAUCUGGGCGAGGAAGCCCAGGAUUGGGCUGCAAGUUUGUGAACAGGGGCACCGAGGUGUGCAGCGACGCUGAGUGACUCUUCCAUAGCGCAGGGCUGAGUGGGCGGCAGGCCAGACGUGGGUCAGGACGCGCUCAUCCCGGGCAGUGUCCAGUCCUGGCCUCGCGGGCCCAACUCGCCCGCCCUGUGCAGCCAGAGGACGGCGGGCGAGGCUGAGGUGCCGCUUGUUUCCGAGCCUGGGGCCAGAGAGGUGGCUGCAUCAGCCGUGGUUCCAGAGUGAAGGCGACGGGAAUCAGAGUGGCAGCUGACCCAUGAAGGACAUGAGACAUGAGUGGGAGAGAAACCAUUUGUUUUUAUAAUCCUUGGAGAUUUGUUGCCUCGGCAGAGCCUGGCUCCGCAGUCUACCCUGACUCAUCCUCUCUGCAGACAGAGGGCACAAAGAUUGUGAUUCACGCUGGUUUUCCGUGGCAUGUAGACAGAGGAUUUCCCGUCCCCUCUUCUGUGACGUCAUUCAGGUUGUCCUUCCUUCUUGCCAUCACACUGAUGCUGAAAGGAAUAUCUGCACACAUUUACCUCAUGUCCUUUCGUGGUAAUUCCUUUGUGGAAGAACGGGAGUGUGAUGCAUGCUUCAAGUGA